GACGAACGCUGGCGGCGUGCCUAAUACAUGCAAGUUGAGCGCUGAAGGUUGGUACUUGUACCCACUGGAUGUGCCGCGAACGGGUGAGUCACGUGUGGGGACUCUGCCUUAGAGCGGGGGACAACAUGUGGAAACGAAUGCUAACACCACAUAAAAACUUUAUACAUAAGUUUUACGUUAGAAAUAUGCAAUCGCAUCUCUCAAAUAUGAUUCCGCGUUGUAUUAGCUAGUUGGUGAGGUAAAGGCUCACCAAGGCGAUGAUACAUAGCCGACCUGAGAGGGUGAUCGGCCACACUGGGACUGAGACACGGCCCAAACUCCUACGGGAGGCAGCAGUAGGGAAUCUUCGGCAAUGGACGGAAGUCUGACCGAGCAACGCCGCGGGAGUGAAGAAGGUUUUCGGAUCGUAAAACUCUGUUGGUAGAGAAGAACGUUGGUGAGAGUGGAAAGCUCAUAAAGUGACGGUAACUAACCAGAAAGGGACGGCUAACUACGUG
rnacentral:rRNA from 1 species